CUCCCAACCCAUGAAUAGUUCAUUAGUUUAAAGCAUACUUGAUUGAUGGUGUCAGACGAAACCAUCUAUUCAAACCUACGAACGAUAAAAAAAAUAAUAAAAACUGCAAUUUGCAAUCUGCAAGCAAAGCAAUUCAGUAAUAGACAUUUCUUCAUAAAUAUAGCCAACUUUAUGUACCUUGGUUUUAAACCUAUUUCAGCAUUUGUCAAGAAUAGUAUAUAUCAUUAACUACAGACCUACA
rnacentral:lncRNA from 1 species